rnacentral:rRNA from 1 species
AUUGAACGCUGGCGGCAUGCCUAACACAUGCAAGUCGAGCGGAUGAAGGGAGCUUGCUCCUUGAUUCAGCGGCGGACGGGUGAGUAAUGCCUAGGAAUCUGCCUGGUAGUGGGGGAUAACGUCCGGAAACGGGCGCUAAUACCGCAUACGGCCUGAGGGAGAAAGUGGUGGAUCUUCGGACCUCACGCUAUCAGAUGAGCCUACGUCGUAUUAGCUAGUUGGUGGGGUAAAGGCCUACCAAGGCGACGAUCCGUAACUGGUCUGAGAGGGUGAUCAGUCACACUGGAACUGAGACACGGUCCAGACUCCUACGGGAGGCAGCAGUGGGGAAUAUUGGCAGAUGGGCGAAAGCCUGAUCCAGCGAUGCAGCGUGUGUGAAGAAGGUCUUCGGAUUGUAAAGCACUUUAAGUUGGGAGGAAGGGUAGUAAGUUAAUACAUUGCUGUUUUGACGUUACCAACAGAAUAAGCACCGGCUAACUUCGUG